rnacentral:tRNA from 1 species
GCCCGGCUAGCUCAGUCGGUAGAGCACGAGACUCUUAAUCUUGGGGUCGUGGGUUCCAGCCCCACGUUUGUCG